GACGAACGCUGGCGGCGUGCUUAACACAUGCAAGUCGAACGGAAAGGCCCUGCUUUUGUGGGGUGCUCGAGAGGCGAACGGGUGAGUAACACGUGAGUAACCUGCCCUUGACUUUGGGAUAACUUCAGGAAACUGGGGCUAAUACCGGAUAGGAGCUCCUGCUGCAUGGUGGGGGUUGGAAAGUUUCGGCGGUUGGGGAUGGACUCGCGGCUUAUCAGCUUGUUGGUGGGGUAGUGGCUUACCAAGGCUUUGACGGGUAGCCGGCCUGAGAGGGUGACCGGCCACAUUGGGACUGAGAUACGGCCCAGACUCCUACGGGAGGCAGCAGUGGGGAAUAUGGCACAAUGGGCGGAAGCCUGAUGCAGCAACGCCGCGUGCGGGAUGACGGCCUUCGGGUUGUAAACCGCUUUCGCCUGUGACGAAGCGUGAGUGACGGUAAUGGGUAAAGAAGCACCGGCUAACUACGUG
rnacentral:rRNA from 1 species